UUGAGAUAUAUAGUCAUGGCCGGAGAAUGCGCGUCCCCGGCCACCAAGAUCCCCAGUUCCCCACCCUGUAAGGCAUCAAAGCAAAACGGUUAUGUACACCGUCAUCCGUCGUGUCCUCUCGCGAUAAUUUUGGAACGACAGAGUUGAACAGGCUUUCUUGGCGGUUGUUCUCAACCUCUUCUUUCUCUCUCUGUAGUGUAGAUAGAUAUAUAGACUACACACACAACCAACCCUCAACAACUCCUUCCAUUACACAGGAUCUCUCUCUUUUUUUUUACAGAAGACACUUUCUCUCUCUCUCUCUCUAGAUCUCUCUAACUUCAGCCAUGGCCAUGUCAGAAGGAACAGCCACUUGCAUAGACAUUCUCCUCGCCAUCCUUAUUCCUCCUCUUGGGGUCUUCCUCAAAUAUGGUUGCAGGGUGGAGUUCUGGAUCUGUUUGCUGCUGACGUUCGUUGGGUACCUACCAGGAAUCGUCUAUGCAGUUUAUGUGAUCGUCCACUAGCUAGUCUCAUUUGCAGUGGAAAGCUUCAUAUUUCCAUGUUUUAUAAGUUAGGCGUUUGAUUUGUAUUUUCUCUGUAUUCCAAAAAACUGAAAUCAGAAAUGGGUUGUAUAUUGAAUCCGUAGUGAACCAUUUACAUCUGCAGGUCUUCCAUUUGCUAUGUAUUUAGAAAACAGCUAGAUUAAGUACGUCUUUGCUUUCCUA